rnacentral:rRNA from 1 species
UAAAUUAUUUAUUAUUAAAAUUAUUAGAAUAAAGAAAUAAAAAUAAAAAAAAUAAUUAUUAUUUUAUUAAUUUGUAUGAAUAAAUAUUAUUUAAUGAUAGAUAAUUAGUAUUGUGAAAGAAUUAGUGAUAUUAAUUUAAAGAAUAAUCUAUUUUUAGUACCUUGUGUAUCAGGGUUUAUUUAUUAAAAUUUAUUAAAAUUAAAUUUCUCGAAUUUAAAAGAGUUAUAUUUAUAUAUUUUUUAUUGUAGAAUAAAUAAUAUGAAUAUAGGUAUAGAAGUGAAAUAUUAUUCGAUUUUAAAUAUAUCUAGUUUUUAAAGAAAAAAAUUUAAUUUUAUUUUUAUAUUAUUAUUUAUUUAAGUUUUUAAAUAAAUAGUGCAGUAAAAUUUUAUAUUUUAGGGGAUGAGCUUUAAAAUAAAUUAAUAUAAAUUUUGUUAUUUUUAUUUAGUAAGUAGAAUUAUAAGUUUUUAUCUUUAAUAGUGUUUUAUAACUAUCUAAAUUUAGAAUAUUUUUUAUAUGAAAGUUUUAUGUAUUUUAUUUAAAUAUAAAUUUAAAUUUAAUAGGUUUAGUAAUAAUGAUAAAAUUAGUAUAAUUUUUUGUUUUAUUUUAAUUUUUAUUAAAGGUUUAAUAAAGGAAUUCGGCAAAUACAUUUUUCACCUGUUUAUUAAAAACAUGGCCUUUUGAUAUUAAUUUAAGGUCUGGCCUGCCCUAUGAGUUUUAAAUGGCCGCAGUAUUUUGACUGUGCAAAGGUAGCAUAAUCAUUAGUUUUUUAAUUGAAAGCUGGAAUGAAAGGUCGGAUGAGAAAAUAGCUGUCUCUAUUAAAAUUAAUUAAAAUUUUAUUUUUAAGUAAAAAAGCUUAAAUUUAAAUAGAAGACGAGAAGACCCUAUAGAGUUUUAUAUAUAGAUGAUAUAAAUUUUUUAGUAUUUAAAACUUUGUUUUAUUUAUGUAUUUAAUUGGGGUGAUUGGAAAACUAAAUAAACUUUUUUUUUAUAAUUUCAUUGAUAAAUGAUAAAAUGAUCCUUUUUUUAAGAUUAUAAGAUAAAAUUACCUUAGGGAUAACAGCGUAAUUUUUUUUGAGAGCUCUAAUCGAAAGAAAAGAUUGCGACCUCGAUGUUGGAUUAAAAUAAAUUUUUGGUGUAGAAGCUAAAAUAAUUAGGUCUGUUCGACCUUUAAAAUUUUACAUGAUCUGAGUUUAAACCGGUGUGAGCC